rnacentral:rRNA from 1 species
UACGUAGGUGGCAAGAGUUAUCCGGAUUUAUUGGGCGUAAAGGGAACGCAGGCGGUCUUUUAAGUCUGAUGUGAAAGCCUUCGGCUUAACCGGAGUAGUGCAUUGGAAACUGGGAGACUUGAGUGCAGAAGAGGAGAGUGGAACUCCAUGUGUAGCGGUGAAAUGCGUAGAUAUAUGGAAGAACACCAGUGGCGAAAGCGGCUCUCUGGUCUGUAACUGACGCUGAGGUUCGAAAGCGUGGGUAGCAAACAGG